UGGUUCUGGCAUCGAUGAAGAACGCAGCGAAAUGCGAUAAGUAAUGUGAAUUGCAGAAUUCCGUGAAUCAUCGAAUCUUUGAACGCACAUUGCGCCCUUUGGUAUUCCGAAGGGCAUGCCUGUUCGAGCGUCAUUGCAACCCUCAAGCACUGCUUGGU
rnacentral:rRNA from 1 species